AUGGCGGGCGCUGCGCAGCGCCCCCUGGCGGACGGCGAGGAAAUGACGUCAAAAUGAGAAUUAUUUGGGGGGGGGUCUGAAAUUUUUGGGGUGUCCUGAGGGAUUUGUCCCAGUUCAGUCCCAGUCAAUCCCAGUUCAGUCCCAGUUCAGUCCCAGUUCAGUCCCAGUUCAGUCCCAGUUCAGUCCCAGUUCAGUCCCAGUUCAGUCCCAGUUCAGUCCCAGUCAGUCCCAGUUUAAUCCCAGUUCAGUCCCAGUCAGUCCCAGUUCAAUCCCAGUUCAGUCCCAGUCAAUCCCAGUUCAGUGCCAGUCAAUCCCAGUUCAGUCCCAGUUCAGUCCCAGUCAGUCCCAGUCAGUCCCAGUCAGUCCCAGUCAGUCCCAGUUCAGUCCCAGUCAGUCCCAGUUCAGUCCCAGUUCAGUCCCAGUUCAGUCCCAGUUCAGUCCCAGUCAGUCCCAGUUCAAUCCCAGUUCAGUCCCAGUCAGUCCCAGUUCAGUCCCAGUUCAGUCCCAGUUCAGUCCCAGUUCAGUCCCAGUUCAGUCCCAGUCAGUCCCAGUCAAUCCCAGUUCAGUCCCAGUUCAGUCCCAGUUCAGUCCCAGUCAGUCCCAGUUCAGUCCCAGUCAGUCCCAGUCAGUCCCAGUUCAGUCCCAGUUCAGUCCCAGUUCAGUCCCAGUUCAGUCCCAGUUCAGUCCCAGUUCAAUCCCAGUCAGUCCCAGUUCAGUCCCAGUCAGUCCCAGUCAGUCCCAGUUCAGUCCCAGUCAGUCCCAGUCAGUCCCAGUCAGUCCCAGUUUGGUCCCAGUUUGGGAAUAAAUCCCAUCCCAAAGUGGGAGUUUGGGAUCCGUUGGGAGGGAAAUUCCAGAGGGCUCCAAACUGGGAUGAACUGGGACAAACUGGGAUCGGGAUUGGGCUGGGAACAGGGAAAAAUGGGAUUGGGAAUGGGACUGGGAUGGACUGGGAUGGAACUGGGAGGGAACUGGGACAAACUGGGACAAACUGGGAUGGACUGGGCGUGAAGUGGGAGGGACUGGGAUGAACUGGGACAAACUGGGAUGAACUGGGAAGGAACUGGGAUGGACUGGGAUGGACUGGGAUGAACUGGGAUGGACUGGGAGGGACUGGGACGAACUGGGACAAACUGGGAUGGACUGGGAGUGAAGUGGGAGGGACUGGGAUGAACUGGGAAGGAACUGGGAGGGAACUGGGAUGAACUGGGAUGAACCGCUGGGACCGGUGAGGGACCAGUGACACCAGUAAGGGACACCAGUGACACCAGUAAGGGACACCAGUGACUCCAGUGACACCAGUAAGGGACACCAGUGACACCAGUAAGAUAAACCAGUGACACCAGUGACACCAGUAAGGGACACCAGUGACUCCAGUGACACCAGUAAGGGACACCAGUGACACCAGUAAGACAAACCAGUGACAUCAGAGGGACCAGUAAGGGACUGCAGUGAGAGGGACCAGCGCUCCCAGUUUGUCCCAGUUCCAUCCCAGUCCCUCCCAGUUCCCCCCAGUCCCUCACAGUCCCUCCCAGUGCCAGGCCGGGCUCUCCCCGCUGUCCCCGCAGAGGAACCCAGGGACAAAAGCGCCUUUGUACUGGGAGGGACUGUGAGGGACUGGGGGGAACUGGGAGGGACUGGGAUGGAACUGGGACAAACUGGGAGC
ensembl:lncRNA